rnacentral:rRNA from 1 species
AAAGUUGAAAAGAACUUUGAAGAGAGAGUUCAAGAGGGCGUGAAACCGUCUAGAAGUAAACGGGUAAAGCCGCAAAGUGUAUCGCAAAAAUCAACUCGUCAUUCGCAUUAGAUGUAUUCGAUCGGCGACCUUUAUUGGCGCCCGGGUAUGUUAUUUUUGCGACUUCGGGUGCACUUUUUGUGAUCGUUGUCUCGACCGAGACCAAGUCCGAACAAAGAGAUUGGUAGAAGACGAAGCCGCGUGUUUCGUGCCUAACCGUUCUCUCAAGUCGGUUCAGUAGUCUUGGCUACCCGAGCAGUCGCCUUUAUGGCUCGACUUUAGGGCGAAGUGAAGCGGGUCGAAAUGAACGUCGCUGCGCGUCAGUGUCGAUCGAGUCCCCGUUUCUUUCGUCUUUUUGCUUCGAGAAGACUGCGUAGGAUCAGAGACAUCCGAGGCGACCUCUUAUCCGACCCGUCUUGAAACACGGACCAAGGAGUCUAACAUGUGCGCGAGUCGUAGGGUGUAUAAACCCGAAGGCGUAAUGAAAGUAAAUCGAGUCUCGUACUCGUUUCAUAGAUACGAUCUUUGGCUUCGGUCAAAGCGGAGUAUCGUCCCGUCCAUGCGGUUCGUCCGCAGGGCGGAGAAAGAGCGCAACUGUUGGGACCCGAAAGAUGGUGAACUAUGCUCGAGCAGAACGAAGCCAGAGGAAACUCUGGUGGAGGUUCGUAGCGGUUCUGACGUGCAAAUCGWUCGUCRGACUUGGGUAUAGGGGCGAAAGACUAAUCGAACCAUCUAGUAGCUGGUUCCUUCCGAGG